UAACAUAUUUACCGAACACUGGUUUUAUCCGAAUGGUUUGUUCCGUCGAACUGCUGCUUCUCUUCUUUAUUCAUGUGAUUACUGCCGAAGGCUGGUUUUCUGUGUGUUUGAAAUCCCAGCGCUACCACCAGUUGUAGCGGAGAGGUGGUAUAAUUCACAGUAUCUCCGCUGGUACACAGGAACAGCAUAAAAUAAUCCAGGUAUCACAAGUACAGC